AUGGUGCAAGUCAGGAUCCAAGUUAACGGCUACUCCGAGACUCUCAGGUCUUUUGUAUGGACUGGGAGUUCUGAUAAUAGUAGGAAAAAUCCUAUCUCUUGGAAACAGUUUGCAGCCCGAAAGCUUGGAGGCGUGAACAUAAUUGAUCUCAGUACAUGGAACAAUAUAUGCAUGAUGAAGAUCUUGUGGAAUCGGAAAACUGAUAAAUUUUGGCAUGCAGGAGUUCUGGAACCACAUGGUGCAGGCUCCUAA